UACGGGGGGGGCAAGCGUUGUUCGGAAUUACUGGGCGUAAAGGGCUCGUAGGUGGCCAACUAAGUCAGACGUGAAAUCCCUCGGCUUAACCGGGGAACUGCGUCUGAUACUGGAUGGCUGGAGAUUGGGAGAGGGAUGCGGAAUUCCAGGUGUAGCGGUGAAAUGCGUAGAUAUCUGGAGGAACACCGGUGGCGAAGGCAGCCCCCUGGGUCAACACUGACGCUCAUGCACGAAAGCGUGGGGAGCAAACAGG
rnacentral:rRNA from 1 species